AGGAGGAGGAGAAGGAGUAACAGAAUCAAAAGAAGCAGAAACUGGAGAAGGUUGAUGGACAGAUGAGGGAGAAUCAGGGAGAUCAUCAUUUUCUCCGGAAGGGAAAUGAGGUAAGGAAGAAGCAGUAGGCAUGGGAGAAUCAGUCAAAGCAUCAUCUUCUCCAGAAUGAACAUAAGGGAAUGAGGAAGCAGAAGGAAAAA
rnacentral:lncRNA from 1 species